CAAAAUGGCGCCUUUUUAAGGGAAGGCGGGAAGGGAGGAAGAAAAUGGCGGCCGCGCGGCGCUUGUUCUCCUCAUGGCGACGGACUGGCCUUUCUUCUCUUUAAAAGAGCCGUCGAGGAGCCGCAGAGAGUGCGUUCGGCCGCCCACCUUCCUGCUUCAUUUUCGCAAGAAUGACAGCCCCGCGAGGCGGGCCGGCCCAGGACAGGACGGCCAGUGGCCAUUUUGCUAGGCCUCACCCUCUUCGUCCAUCUUUGUCUCCAGAGAGCCAUGCGCCUGCGGACCGAACCCUGGGGCCAGACUUUCAGUCUUGCUGGGCAGAAGCAGAGCCUCGGACUUUUCUGGGCUGAGAAGGAGACGGCCGAAGCAGCUUUCAUUGAAGGACAUUGGCAGCAACAUUGACAGCUUACUGCACAAGGGCCGUCAGGUUCAGCACCUGGGAGCGUCUUUGGAACCCGCCUCCUCCACUUUGGCUUCCUGAAAGGACCCCCUGCUGGUGGCUGCCAACUUGCGACUCCUUUCCGUGGAGCUCCUGCCGGUGGGCCAGACCGGUCCAUGAGAUGGUCCUCCAUCCAUCCCUUCGCAGAGAGACUGGCUGCUGUGCAUUCACUCUUUCAGUUCUUCCGGUGAGUCAGGCAGCCGCAGGGCAAGCGUGUGGCAACUCUUGCUCUUGCUUCAGGCGCUCUGCAAAGUCCAGGGUUAAGGUGAGCCUCUGUGUGGCCUUAAAAAGAAAGGAAGUAAUAACACAAAAGAAAGGACUGCUUAAGGAUGCUGGGAGCGGAGGAAGGCGCCCGCCAAGGCGCCACACAGGAUUUCGUGUCCUGCAAAAAGGAGAGGGAGAAAGUCAGGACAAUAAUGUUUUCGGUCUCUGUUGUUUCCACUUGAGACCGUUGUAACUGUGACCAGGGAAUGGAGCGUGGUCUCCUUACGGAUUUAUGGUGGAGCGUCUUGGCGUCUGCCGAGGGCCCUCUCCAGCCUCGUCUGUUUCAUAGACACCUCUUCCACUCUGGAAAAAGGGAACCAUCCUCAAUAUCACUGCCAGGCACAUGUCCACCUGUGGGAAUUGCCGUCCUUGUUGUAGUAUAUCUGCACAUAGCUUACAUUUCUUUCUAAGGAAGGUGCAUAGCUACAUAUAUAGCUUCAUAUGAGGUCUACUUACAGGCGGCUUCAUGGCUGACAAAGGCCGUAUCCAGGCUCUCCACUUUCUCAGCCGACUCUUCAACUGGGGAAAAAGGACCCAGGA